GGCAUUCAGCAAAGAAUUUUAUCCAAUUUUACAAUUGUGAAUAAGCAAAAUUCAAGCAAUUGAGGGUUAAGGGUAAAACACUGCCAAAAUGUGCCCAACAGUGGUAACAUGGUGAUGGUGGGGCCUGAAACAGCAACCUUCUGAUCACUAGUCCAGUCCCUUAACUGCUGAGCCAACCAUACUGAGCUGCAGGCCACCGGAUGUGUCGAGAUUUCACAGACAGUUCACUACUAUAAUUUCACAAGAAGGCUGUCUCAAUCAAGUUGUUUAAGAGAAGUGAAAGAAACAAACACUGCCAUAAAGGAUGAAUUUAAGAAUUAGGCAUCUAGAUCCAACUGCCCUUUUUGGAAUCCUGGUGUUCUGAAUCGCAAGGUAUUUGUAACCAGCGGUAUUAGGUCCCUGCCGACACUGCCUUAGAGUGAGAGUGAGAUAACACCGAUCAACCUUCAACUUUCCAACUGAAGCAGCACAUAGAGCUGGGAAAACAUGCCUCAGACUCCCAGAGUGUCAGCACAGGCUCUCCACAAGACUGUGUCCUUCCUCCCCUGCUCUUCUCCCUGCACACUAACAGCCGUGCCCGCGGACGAGAGUCAAACUCAUGCGGUUUGCUGAUGACACCACCCUCGUUGGGCCCAUCUCUGAUGGGGAUUAGUCCGCCUACAAGGGGGGAGAUUAACCAACAACUACCGGUGCAGCCAAAACAACCCGGAGCUCAGAGACAGACGUUGACCUCAGGAGGUCUGCGGCCCCACCUGCCCCCAUAACUCUGUUGACACUGGAGUCUUUCCGCUUCCGGGGCACCAUCAUGUCACCAGUGGCAUUGAGCGAGAGCAGAACAUCAGCUCCAUCACCAAGAACAGACAGCGAAGGGUGUACUUCCUGCAGCAGGUAUACGACCAGCCAAAGCCAUUGAUGGUGCACUUCUACACUGCCAGAGUCCAUAAUGACCUCGAACAUCACCAUUUGGUACGCCGUUGCUUCUGCCAAGGACAAGGGCAGAUUGCAGUGGACCAUCUGCUAUGCUGAGAGAGUGAUUGGCUGCAACCUACCGUCCCUCCAAGAUCUGCAUGCCUCCAGAAGACUGAGGCGAGCAGGCAAAAAUCAUGACUGACCCCUCACACCCUGCACAUAUCAUCUUCAAAAACUUCCCUCUGGCAAGAGGCUGAGGUCUGUAAUGACCAAAACUGCACCUGUCACCACAAGGUCAGUUUUUUUCUCAACUGCAUUCAGCCUCAUCAAGACUUGGAUCCCCCACUGAUAUAAACUCAUUGCACGGCAACUGUAUUGCGCAAUUCUAUCCAUUACAUAGCACAUCAUUUACAUAGCAUAUUUUAUUUGCACACCUGUAAGCUCAUCAAUCUGGGCAAAUUUUUCUUGCAGUCUUCUUUUUAUGUAUAUAUUGUACUUUUUUUUUUUAAGAUACUACAUUUUUCUACAUAUCGUAUUUUCUUUGCCGUCUUCAUUUUGAUUGUUAUGCACCAAUUUCACCAAGUCACAUUCCUUGUAUGUGCAAAUGUAGCUGGCUAAUAAACAAAUUCUGAUUGUGAA